rnacentral:rRNA from 1 species
UACGUAGGACGCAAGCGUUAUCCGGAUUUACUGGGCGUAAAGAGCGUUGAGGCGGUUCCGUAAGUUGGACGUGAAAGCCCCUGGCCUAACUGGGGGAGGCCGUUCAAUACUGCGGAACUUGAGGACAGCAGAGGGAGGUGGAAUUCCCGGUGUAGUGGUGAAAUGCGUAGAUAUCGGGAGGAACACCAGUGGCGAAGGCGGCCUCCUGGGCUGCUCCUGACGCUGAAGGCGAAAGCUAGGGUAGCGAACGGG